rnacentral:rRNA from 1 species
UACGGGGGGGGAUAAGCGUUGUUCGGAAUUACUGGGCGUAAAGCGCGCGUAGGCGGCUUUGUAAGUUAGAGGUGAAAGCCCAGGGCUCAACCCUGGAAUUGCCUUUAAGACUGCAUCGCUUGAACAUCGGAGAGGUAAGUGGAAUUCCGAGUGUAGAGGUGAAAUUCGUAGAUAUUCGGAAGAACACCAGUGGCGAAGGCGACUUACUGGACGAUUGUUGACGCUGAGGUGCGAAAGCGUGGGGAGCAAACGG